rnacentral:rRNA from 1 species
GACGAACGCUGGCGGCGUGCCUAAUGCAUGCAAGUCGCACGCGGUGCCUUCGGGCACUGAGUGGCGAACGGCUGAGGAACACGUGGGGACCUGUCCGGGAGUGGGGGACAACACCGCGAAAGCGGUGCUAAUCCCGCAUACGCUCUGAGGAGGAAAGCCGAAAGGCGCUCCCGGGUGGCCCUGCGGCCCAUCAGGUUGUUGGUGGGGUAACGGCCUACCAAGCCAAUGACGGGUCGCUGGUCUGUGAGGACGACCAGCCAGACUGGGACUGGGACCCGGCCCAGACUCCUACGGGAGGCAGCAGCAAGGAAUCUUCGGCAAUGGGCGCAAGCCUGACCGAGCAACGCCGCGUGCAGGAUGACGGCCUUCGGGUUGUAAACUGCUUUUGCUAGGGAUGAUACGGACAGUACCUGGCGAAUAAGCCCCGGCUAACUCUGUGCCAGCAGCCGCCGUAA